rnacentral:rRNA from 1 species
GGCCCUACGGGCGCAGCAGGCGCGAAAACUUCGCAAUGCGCGCAAGCGUGACGAGGNUAAUCCGAGUGUUACCUGCUGAAGGUAACUUUUGUUAAGUUUAAUUCGCUUAAAGAAAAAAGGGAGGGCAAGCCUGGUGUCAGCCGCCGCGGUAAUACCAGCUCCCNGAGUGGUCGGGGUGUUUAUUGGGCCUAAAGCAUCCGUAGCUUGUUUUAUGAGUCUUUCGUUAAAUCUGACGGCUUAACCGUUAGGCUGCGUGAGAUACCGUAUAACUAGGAGGCGGGAGAGGCUGAUGGUACUCCAAGGGUAGGGGUAAAAUCCACUGAUCCAUGGAAGACCACCAAUGGCGAAGGCGGUCAGCCAGAACGCGCUCGACGGUGAGGGAUGAAAGCUGGGGGAGCGAACCGGAUUAGAUACCCGGGUAGUCCCAGCUGUAAACGAUGCGAGCUAGGUGAUGGAGUGAUUAUGUAUUACUUCAGUGCCACAGGGAAGCCGUUAAGCUCGCCGCCUGGGGAGUACGAUCGCAAGAUUGAAACUUAAAGGAAUUGGCGGGGGAGCACCACAAGGGGUGAAGCCUGCGGUUCAAUUGGAGUCAACGCCGGGAAUCUUACCAGGAGCGACAGCAGGAUGAAAGUCAAGUUGGAGACUUUACUAGACAAGCUGAGAGGUGGUGCAUGGCCGUCGUCAGCUCGUGCCGUGAGGCGUCCUGUUAAGUCAGGCAACGAGCGAGACCCCCACCGUUAAUUGCUUUCAGCGACCGUAGGGUUGCUGGAGAUAUUUAGCGGGACUGCUACCGCUAAGGUGGAGGAAGGAGGGGGCCACGGCAGGUCAGUAUGCCCCGAAACUCCUGGGCUACACGCGGGCUGCAAUGGUAGGUACAAUGAGUUUCGACCUCGAAAGGGGAAGGUAAUCCCGAAAACCUACCCCAGUUGUGACUGAGGGCUGAAACUCGCCCUCACGAAUCUGGAAUCCCUAGUAAUCGCGCGUCAACAUCACGCGGUGAAUACGUCCCUGCUCCUUGCACACACCGCCCGUCGCUUCACCCGAGUUGGGUUUGGGCGAGGUAACGCCUAAUUGACGUUGUCGAACCUGAG